rnacentral:tRNA from 1 species
GAUUCCAUAGUAUAGUGGUUAGCAUGUCUGCUUUACAUGCAGAAGGUCCUGGGUUCAUGCCCCAGUGGAGCCA